UACGUAGGGGGCAAGCGUUGUCCGGAAUCAUUGGGCGUAAAGCGCACGUAGGCGGAUCUUUAAGUCAGGCGUGAAAUCCUGGAGCUCAACUCCAGAACUGCCUUUGAUACUGAGGAUCUUGAGUUCGGGAGAGGUGAGUGGAACUGCGAGUGUAGAGGUGAAAUUCGUAGAUAUUCGCAAGAACACCAGUGGCGAAGGCGGCUCACUGGCCCGAUACUGACGCUGAGGCACGAAAGCGUGGGGAGCAAACAGG
rnacentral:rRNA from 1 species